GAAAGGGAUUUUGGAGAGGGGAAACGCUACAAAAAUAGAGGGAAGGUUCUACCAAAAUCGGGGGAGAAAAUCGGAGAAGAAACGAGGCUUAUUGGAAAGUUUGAGUCUCUACCGUAAAGCAUGCCAAACGUCUGGAAAACUGCAAGAAAACCAUUCCCGAAUGCUGGGAACAGUGCACUAACAAGCCCAAACCAGCAAUGUGUUUUGAUACCCCUGGGACAUUCAACGUCCCAGAUUUAAUAGAAGUGCCAGGUGUUCCAGGUUCUGGUUCGAGCAAGGGCAAACAGGUGGUAUUUGGCUAGCUUUAGGUUUCGUAGCCAACUUGGGGUUUUAUUUCAUUAUGUAAUUCAAGUGAUGUAUUGUAAUAGCAGCUAGGAUGCUAGAGCUUGUAUUAAAUGCGUGGGUUGUGUU